AUUGAACGCUGGCGGCAGGCCUAACACAUGCAAGUCGAACGAGUGGCGGACGGGUGAGUAGUGUCUGGGAAACUGCCUGAUGGAGGGGGAUAACUACUUGAAACGGUAGCUAAUACCGCAUACCAUCGGAUGUGCCCAGAUGGGAUUAGCUAGUAGGUGGGGUAAAGGCUUACCUAGGCGACGAUCCCUAGUUGGUCUGAGAGGAUGACCAGCCACACUGGAACUGAGACACGGUCCAGACUCCUACGGGAGGCAGCAGUAGGGAAUCUUGCACAAUGGGCGAAAGCCUGAUGCAGCCAUGCCGCGUGUAUGAAGAAGGCCUUCGGGUUGUAAAGUACUUUCAGCGGGGAAGCGUUACCCGCAGAAGAAGCACCGGCUAACUCCGUGCCAGCAGCCGCGGUAAUUC
rnacentral:rRNA from 1 species